CCAACGGCCCUCUUUAGGGCCACAAUUGGAGUAGUUCGAUUACGU
rfam:Angiostrongylus cantonensis strain Taiwan genome assembly, scaffold: ACAC_scaffold0002168